UGGGGAAUUUUGCACAAUGGGGGAAACCCUGAUGCAGCGACGCCGCGUGAUUUAGAAGGCCUUCGGGUUGUAAAAAUCUUUUCUAUGGGAAGAAAAUGACAGUACCAUAGGAAUAAGGACCGGCUAAUUACGUGCCAGCAGCCGCGGUAAUACGUAAGGUCCGAGCGUUGUCCGGAAUCAUUGGGCGUAAAGGGUACGUAGGCGGGUAAGCAAGUUAGAAGUGAAAUCCUAUAGCUCAACUAUAGUAAGCUUUUAAAACUGCUCAUCUUGAGGUAUGGAAGGGAAAGUGGAAUUCCUAGUGUAGCGGUGAAAUGAGCAGCUAUUAGGAGGAAUACCGGUGGCGAAGGCGACUUUCUGGCCCUAACCUGACGCUGAGGUACGAAAGCGUGGGUAGCAAACAGG
rnacentral:rRNA from 1 species